UUCUUUUCCCUACCACUAAUCUUUUUCCCUACCACUACUCCUACCUCUCCACCACACUACUCCUUUUCCCCCACCACUACAUUCUUUCUCCCACUCUCACAACUUUUCUCCCACCAUUAUCACACUCCAUAGAAGCCUUUGAAGCCCCAAGAGAAGUAGCAAAGCAAGGGAGAGUGUGGGAAAACUAUAGAGUGAAGGUUGUGCUUCGAGGGUCCGGGCGACAGAAAGUGAAGCCGAAGAAGAAACGACUCCACGCCAGCUUUAAGAACAAUUGAGGUUGAGCAGGCGAUGGAAUGGAUCGGUGUUGAGCGGAUUUCCCUUUUGAUGUUUAUGUAAUGAAACCUUGAGUAUGCAUCUCCAUAUGCAUAACUCACACGUUUUUUCGCUGCAAACACUCUGACUUAUUUAUCAUUUCUACUUGAACUUAUUACUACUUCAUUUUAAUUAACUUUCAGUUGGGGUCUAGUCGUUAUGGCAGACUCAUUUGUGAAUUACCCAAGUGGUUAUAUAUAUAUACCACUAGUUUGUUAUUAA